UGAAGCAGCUGGCUCAAUUAAGAUGAGGCUUCUGCUACUUCUCCUGGUGGUGUCGGCAGUGGUGGCCAACCUGGGCAGCAUGCCCAGCAAGAGAUUAAAGAUGCAAUACACCACAGGGCCACCGCUCAAGUUCUAGAUUUCUGUUUCCUAAGGUUACAGGUGGGUGUUUGAGGAGCACAUGUGGGUUAUUAGCCAGCAGUACCCAGACAUCACACUGAAGGAGAGAAUUACCUCCCUCAACCAAUAUAUAGACACAUAGCAUCUUUCCUGACAGCCUUCAGUCUAUUACUAAUAGGGUUAAUAAUUGUUGUCAAGGAUCCUUUUGCUUUCUUUGGCAUACAAGCUCCUAGCCUUC
rnacentral:lncRNA from 10 species